UGGGGAAUAUUGCACAAUGGGGGAAACCCUGAUGCAGCAACGCCGCGUGAGUGAAGAAGUAUUUCGGUAUGUAAAGCUCUAUCAGCAGGGAAGAAAAUGACAGUACCUGACUAAGAAGCCCCGGCUAACUACGUGCC
rnacentral:rRNA from 1 species